ACCCCUGGGAAACUGGGACUAAUCCCUGAUAAGUCUCCGUAGCUGGAAUGCUCGGAGACGGAAAGCUCCGGCGCCACAGGAUGGGUCUGCGGCCUAUCAGGGUAGUAGUGGGUGUAGAGUACCUACUAGCCUACGACGGGUACGGGUUGUGAGAGCGGGAGCCCGGAGAUGGGCACUGAGACAAGGGCCCAGGUCCUACGGGGCGCAGCAGUCGCGAAAACUUUGCAAUACACGAAAGUGUGACAGGGUCAUCCCGAGUGCCGACCGCUGAGGUUGGCUUUUACCCAGUCUAGAAAGCUGGGGGAAUAAGGAGAGGGCAAGUCUGGUGUCAGCCGCCGCGGUAAUACCAGCUCUCCGAGUGGUGUGGACGUUUAUUGGGCCUAAAGCAUCCGUAGCUGGCUGAACAAGUCCCCUGUUAAACCCACCGAUUUAAUCGUUGGUGUGCGGGGGAUACUGCUCGGCUAGGGGACGAGAGAGGCAGACGGUAUUCCCGGGGUAGGGGUGAAAUCCUAUAAUCCCGAGAAGACCACCAGUGGCGAAGGCUGUCUGCUAGAACGCGCCCGACGGUGAGGGAUGAAAGCUGGGGGAGCGAACCGGAUUAGAUACCCGGGUAGUCCCAGCUGUAAACGAUGCAGACUAGGUGUUUGGACGGCCACGUGCCGUUCUAGUGCCGCGAGGGAAGCUGUUAAGUCUGCCGCCUGGGGAG
rnacentral:rRNA from 1 species